AUUGAACGCUGGCGGCAGGCCUAACACAUGCAAGUCGAGCGGAUGAAGUGAGCUUGCUCCUGGAUUCAGCGGCGGACGGGUGAGUAAUGCCUAGGAAUCUGCCUGGUAGUGGGGGAUAACGUCCGGAAACGGGCGCUAAUACCGCAUACGUCCUAAGGGAGAAAGUGGGGGAUCUUCGGACCUCACGCUAUCAGAUGAGCCUAGGUCGGAUUAGCUAGUUGGUGGGGUAAAGGCCUACCAAGGCGACGAUCCGUAACUGGUCUGAGAGGAUGAUCAGUCACACUGGAACUGAGACACGGUCCAGACUCCUACGGGAGGCAGCAGUGGGGAAUAUUGGACAAUGGGCGAAAGCCUGAUCCAGCAAUGCCGCGUGUGUGAAGAAGGUCUUCGGAUUGUAAAGCACUUUAAGUUGGGAGGAAGGGCAGUAAGUUAAUACCUUGCUGUUUUGACGUUACCAACAGAAUAAGCACCGGCUAACUUCGUG
rnacentral:rRNA from 1 species